AUGGCGUCCAUGCCGUUACCUUCUCUGCACAGCGAUGGGGGACCAUGGCCAAUGGCAUCCGUGCCGUUAUCUUCUCUGCAGCGCGAUGGGGGACCAUGGCCGAUGGUGUCCGUGCCGUUGUCUUCUCUGCAGAGUGAUGGGUGGCCAUGGCUGAUGGCGUCUGUGCCGUUAUCUUCUCUGCUUUUGUGUAUGUUUGAACAUUUCUAUAAUAAAAACUUAAGUGAAAAGCUUACUGUGCUGGCUACCUGGAGGCGUGGUGUUUUUGUUCAUUUUGUUUUUAGAAUUGGGGUGGGAAGUAGUGGGAUUGGGGGUCCAUGGGGGCCAUUUCUUGGGUUUUCCCGAAGUGGGUUCUGUGCUUGGCAUCAUGAAGCAAGUGGAGCAUGUGUUUGCUCCAUGCCUGUGGGCUGCAUGGAGGCAGCCUGACGAACACAUUUUGAGGUGCCCCCGGGAGGUCGCUGAGGCCGUGUAUGUCUGUUCCAUGCAGCAGCUGUCAUCUCUGUUUUUGAACACAUUGACGGUGUGUAGUCUGCUUGGGGGGACGUUUGAGGUCAACAGAGUGGCCAGAAGAGGCUCCCUCGUUAUUGCAACGAUCCACACUCCACUCUGCUGUCAUUGAACGUACCCGCAAGCCUGCACCCUCUUCAUCUCUUCUUUGUCUGUAGCAACCGUCCCCAAUCCUGACAUCGGUGAUUGUGUGCAUUGUGUCUUGUCUGUCCCCACCUAGAAUGUGAGUUUCAUAGGAGGAGCCUUAUCUGCUUUGCUAAGUUUCUAAGUGUCUCCAUCGAUUCCCUGCACAUGGUCAGUGCACAACAGAUGUCAGUUGAAUGCUUAGUACUUAGGAGACAAGAGGCUUUCAAUUUUCCUCAGUUAAUUUGUAUGAAAGUAAUGCAUAUAUAUGGUUCAUUUAAAAGCCGAGAAAUAUAGGGCUUAAAAUAAGAAGCAACAGAUCCUGCCCCUCCUUCCUGAGCUCACCCCCCACACCCAGGGGCAACAGUAGCCUCUCCCACGUUGAGGUCCUGCGGCAGCUGCCCCUUUUCCGUGUGGUUCCACCCUAUCUCAUCAGAAGUUGACUCAGUCCUUCUCUGUACAGUAGCCUCUCCCGCAUUGAGGUCCCGCCUUGGCUGCCACUUCUCCAUCGGCUUCUACCCUGUCUCAUCAGGAACGGACUCAGUCCUCCUCUGUGUAGCCCCUGUGGUGCCCCCUGUGCUGUAGGGUGAGGACUCUCCUCUUUCAAUUCCCCUACGUCCAGGCUGUGUUAGCCAACCCUGUGGUACUCCCUGCGCUGUACGGUGAGGACGCUCCUCUUUCAAUUCCCCUACGUCCAGGCUGUGUUAGCCAACAUUUUGUUUUCCCACUGUCAAGUUAAAAGCAUCAUGCCCGGCCCUGCAGCUGCAGUGAUGGGCGGAUCCUCGGGGUGCUGCCUGUGUUGCAGCUGUGCCAGCGUUGAUUGCAGAUGAGCCGAGUGGGGCCCUCUGUGCCCCUGAGCCACUGGGCAACAGAGUAAGACUGUGUCUUACUCUGGAAGAGAAGGCUCUUUGUGCAGUUCUAAGAGAUGCUCCUGCUUCAUCCUGCAACAGCCACCCCAAAUCUGCCACUUCUAACUGUGGUGUUGGGACUUUCUCUUCUUGCAUAGUUUUUCCUUGUGUUUCCCAAAGGUUCUGGUCACUUCCUUUCCUUUGUGUCUCCCUCCUCAUCCCCUCCUGACCUCACUCACUCCACCUGUCUUAUCGAACCCCCCAAGCCCAGAGGUGUCCACUGGAAUCCUGGCUCUCCAGCCCAAGGUCACCUUGAGAUGCCACAGUCUGUGAGUGGCAGGGGAAAUCUGUGGGGUGGCAGGAGGCUGCCCGGGACAAGGUUGCAGGGGCAGGCACAUGGUGUGCUCAGAGCUCCUGGGUGAACCAGGGAGAAUGAGGAAGGCCUUGAGGAGCCUGGCGAAGGUGAACCUGGUAGGUCCAUGGUCUCCACUGGGAGAUGGGGAGGACCCACUGGGCAGGGGAGACAGUGCUUCUGGAUGGGAAGGUUUAAUUCUGUAAAUAUAUGAAUUCUCUCUGAAUAAACCUAUACAUGUAAGUUAUCACAACACAAUAUUAACAAUUUUUUUUGAAAUUAAGCAAACUAGCUUUAAAGUCCAGGUUCAGACGCAAACAUGAGACUAAACAGAAAAGUUAUGAAAAAGAGAAGUUGUGUGUGGGGCGUUGAGUCUUGCACACUCAGUGCUUUGCAGUGAUGGGACAUUUAAGCCAGAGUGGGGAACAGACGGGCAGAUUGAAGGGAAAGAAUAGAAAGUCUAGAAAUAGACCCAAAUGCGUAUGGGUAUUUGGUAUAUGAUAAUGAUGACAUUUUAAAUCAGUGGGGAAAAGAUGUAUUAUUCAGUAAUGAUUUGGGGACAACUGGCCAGACAUUUGGAAAAUAUAUAGCUGCGUCCCUCCCAAACUCCUUACCCCAAAAUAAAAUCCAGAUGGUGCAGAGACUUAAAAAUAUAAUGGAAUUUUACAAGUACUGGAAGAAAACGUGGGGGAAUUUUUAAUAAUUUUGAGAGGGAAUUAAUUUUUUUAAGGAAUACAGCCCAAUAUCUAAGGAAAUUAAAAUUCACAUAACUUUAACUCACCAGCCUGACUCCUGGGAAGUUACGUGAUGGAUGUUCAGGCUGGGUGUAAAGAACCAAACGCGCAAUGAUUAUGUGAAACAUUAUUAUAGGAAAAAACCGCGAGCAUUCUAAACACCCUUCAAGUUGUUGUUCAUCUUCAAGACAGAGUUAGGUAGAUGGGCUGACACAGAAGGACCUCAAGACAUUUUGAAAUAAAAAAGGAAGAUGAGAACAGCUGGAAUCCAUGUUAGAAGAAGAUGAACCUGGACCGAAUUUCUUUCAGAGACACCAACUCCUGUGCUCAUGGGUGUGAAAGGCAAGACUAUAAAGGUUUUCAACUGAGAAUAUAAUGUUUCAUGACUUUAGGGUGGAGAAGAAGGUUUUGAGACAGGACACAAAGAGUGCUAAUCGUAAAGGAAAUUAUUGAUAAUUUCAACUGUAUUAAAAUCAAGAAUAACUCUUAGUAAAAAAGACACCAUAAAGAGAAUUAAUUAAAAGACAAGCCACAGAAUGGGAGACAAUAUUUUCAACACAGGUAAACGACAUGUAACCGACAAAGAUCUCACGUUCAAAACAGAGAGGACCCUGACAAAUCACUGAGAACAAGGCAAUGAAGGGAACCUUUGCAAAACAUUUAAGAAGUUCUAAGGAGAAAAUUCAAAUGACUGAGAAAUAUGUAAAAUGGUCUUCAACCUAAUUAUUAAAUUGGAGCGAUGAAGACGGAAGUCGUAUGAGAUUCAGCAGCUCCCCUACUAGAUGGGCAAAAACCGGAAGCACCAGCUCCAGGUGCAGCUGCGAUGUGGGGCUGGGAGUUCCUGGAAGCACCUGGCUGUGAUACGCAACCUCUGAGCUCCUCGGGGGCUUGGACAGCAGGUGGGCAGGUGUGCUGGAAUGCGGAGAGGUGUGUUUGUUGCAGCUGAGGUUUCGCUCCUUGCCCUCCACGCAGCAGAAGCACGCGUAGGCCUGGUCAGGGAGACGUGCAAGGAAGUGUGUAGGUGGCAUUGUUUACAGUCUCCCCAGGCUGGACGCGACCCACAUGCACUUUGGUGGUAGAGGAGAGGAAGGUUAUUGGAACAAUAAAUGGAACAAUGGAAUUUAGCCAUGACGGGGCGACUCGGAUCAUCUCACAGACAUGAAGCUGCGUGAAAGAAGGAAGCUGUGAAAGAUGACAGGCCCUGUGAAUCUGGUGCAGAGGCAGGCACGGCCGUGAGGACAGCUUCCAUCAGGUGGUGCCGAGUCCCACAAAGGAACCUGGAAUCCAGCUGAGUGGGCACGUGCUGCCCGUCACGGCCCUUCAUGUCCUGAACAUCUGUUGAGAGGAGGCGGGGGUGUCACCUUAAUUCCAUCUUGGACACCACAGUGACACAAAGUGCAAAGUGCUGUGCCCCUCAUCCCCACAGAUAUGUGGUGUCCCACUGGUCUCCUAACCACCCAACGCCGUUGCUCCUGACCAUUGGAAAUGCUGGUGGGGCUGGAGCACCUGGACAGUCCAGUCUCGUUCUGGUGGCUGGACUGGAGUAGGGUUGCCUUGAAGCCGUCUUAGGCUGGAAAUGCCCCCAGCAGCAGCGCCAGGGGAACUCUCACUGGGUGCCCUGGGAGCCCCGGGGAACACUUGUCAGUUCAGCUCUGACCUCAAGGUGGGACUGCCCCAUGCCCGUGGCCCGGGAGUGGGGGCUGCAGGAGGAGCCCCUCAUGCUGAGGCCCUCCCUCUGAGGGGCUCCCCUGGGGGCCUCAAAUUCAGCAUCAGGCGCCAGUGAAGACUCAGCUCCUCUGGAGGGGACCCCCCCCGCCCCACCCUCCUGCACUGCAGCGCUGCCCAGGCCUGGGUCUGCGGAGACUUCUGUUUGCCUCUGGCCUGAUGACAGCAGCGUAGAAACCAGCCUCCCUCCUCCUCCCCAGAUCUCUUCUCUUUUUGGGGGGUUUUCAUGCUAACCUACUGUUUUCUCUAAGAAGCAAUACAUGGCUAUUAUGAAACAUUUAGAAAAUGUAUAAUAAAUAAUAAAAUAAUGUUACCGUUCUGAUUUA